rfam:Elusimicrobia bacterium RIFOXYA2_FTLL_58_8 rifoxya2_full_scaffold_2516, whole genome shotgun sequence.
GCCGAGAUGGCGGAACUGGUAGACGCGCAUGGCUUAGGACCAUGUGGGGUCACACCCAUCGGGGUUCGAGUCCCCGUCUCGGCA